GGUUAAGCGACUAAGCGUACACGGUGGAUGCCCUGGCAGUCAGAGGCGAUGAAGGACGUGCUAAUCUGCGAUAAGCGUCGGUGAGGUGAUAUGAACCGUUAUAACCGGCGAUUUCCGAAUGGGGAAACCCAGUGUGAUUCGUCACACUAUCAUUAACUGAAUCCAUAGGUUAAUGAGGCGAACCGGGGGAACUGAAACAUCUAAGUACCCCGAGGAAAAGAAAUCAACCGAGAUUCCCCCAGUAGCGGCGAGCGAACGGGGAGGAGCCCAGAGCCUGAAUCAGUGUGUGUGUUAGUGGAAGCGUCUGGAAAGGCGCGCGAUACAGGGUGACAGCCCCGUACACAAAAAUGCACAUAUUGUGAGCUCGAUGAGUAGGGCGGGACACGUGGUAUCCUGUCUGAAUAUGGGGGGACCAUCCUCCAAGGCUAAAUACUCCUGACUGACCGAUAGUGAACCAGUACCGUGAGGGAAAGGCGAAAAGAACCCCGGCGAGGGGAGUGAAAAAGAACCUGAAACCGUGUACGUACAAGCAGUGGGAGCCUCUUAAUGGGGUGACUGCGUACCUUUUGUAUAAUGGGUCAGCGACUUAUAUUCUGUAGCAAGGUUAACCGAAUAGGGGAGCCGAAGGGAAACCGAGUCUUAACUGGGCGUUAAGUUGCAGGGUAUAGACCCGAAACCCGGUGAUCUAGCCAUGGGCAGGUUGAAGGUUGGGUAACACUAACUGGAGGACCGAACCGACUAAUGUUGAAAAAUUAGCGGAUGACUUGUGGCUGGGGGUGAAAGGCCAAUCAAACCGGGAGAUAGCUGGUUCUCCCCGAAAGCUAUUUAGGUAGCGCCUCGUGAAUUCAUCUCCGGGGGUAGAGCACUGUUUCGGCAAGGGGGUCAUCCCGACUUACCAACCCGAUGCAAACUGCGAAUACCGGAGAAUGUUAUCACGGGAGACACACGGCGGGUGCUAACGUCCGUCGUGAAGAGGGAAACAACCCAGACCGCCAGCUAAGGUCCCAAAGUCAUGGUUAAGUGGGAAACGAUGUGGGAAGGCCCAGACAGCCAGGAUGUUGGCUUAGAAGCAGCCAUCAUUUAAAGAAAGCGUAAUAGCUCACUGGUCGAGUCGGCCUGCGCGGAAGAUGUAACGGGGCUAAACCAUGCACCGAAGCUGCGGCAGCGACACUAUGUGUUGUUGGGUAGGGGAGCGUUCUGUAAGCCUGUGAAGGUGGCCUGUGAGGGUUGCUGGAGGUAUCAGAAGUGCGAAUGCUGACAUAAGUAACGAUAAAGCGGGUGAAAAGCCCGCUCGCCGGAAGACCAAGGGUUCCUGUCCAACGUUAAUCGGGGCAGGGUGAGUCGACCCCUAAGGCGAGGCCGAAAGGCGUAGUCGAUGGGAAACAGGUUAAUAUUCCUGUACUUGGUGUUACUGCGAAGGGGGGACGGAGAAGGCUAUGUUGGCCGGGCGACGGUUGUCCCGGUUUAAGCGUGUAGGCUGGUUUUCCAGGCAAAUCCGGAAAAUCAAGGCUGAGGCGUGAUGACGAGGCACUACGGUGCUGAAGCGACAAAUGCCCUGCUUCCAGGAAAAGCCUCUAAGCAUCAGGUAACAUCAAAUCGUACCCCAAACCGACACAGGUGGUCAGGUAGAGAAUACCAAGGCGCUUGAGAGAACUCGGGUGAAGGAACUAGGCAAAAUGGUGCCGUAACUUCGGGAGAAGGCACGCUGAUAUGUAGGUGAAGCGACUUGCUCGUGGAGCUGAAAUCAGUCGAAGAUACCAGCUGGCUGCAACUGUUUAUUAAAAACACAGCACUGUGCAAACACGAAAGUGGACGUAUACGGUGUGACGCCUGCCCGGUGCCGGAAGGUUAAUUGAUGGGGUUAGCGGUAACGCGAAGCUCUUGAUCGAAGCCCCGGUAAACGGCGGCCGUAACUAUAACGGUCCUAAGGUAGCGAAAUUCCUUGUCGGGUAAGUUCCGACCUGCACGAAUGGCGUAAUGAUGGCCAGGCUGUCUCCACCCGAGACUCAGUGAAAUUGAACUCGCUGUGAAGAUGCAGUGUACCCGCGGCAAGACGGAAAGACCCCGUGAACCUUUACUAUAGCUUGACACUGAACAUUGAGCCUUGAUGUGUAGGAUAGGUGGGAGGCUUUGAAGUGUGGACGCCAGUCUGCAUGGAGCCGACCUUGAAAUACCACCCUUUAAUGUUUGAUGUUCUAACGUGGGCCCCUUACCGGGGUUGCGGACAGUGUCUGGUGGGUAGUUUGACUGGGGCGGUCUCCUCCUAAAGAGUAACGGAGGAGCACGAAGGUUGGCUAAUCCUGGUCGGACAUCAGGAGGUUAGUGCAAUGGCAUAAGCCAGCUUGACUGCGAGCGUGACGGCGCGAGCAGGUGCGAAAGCAGGUCAUAGUGAUCCGGUGGUUCUGAAUGGAAGGGCCAUCGCUCAACGGAUAAAAGGUACUCCGGGGAUAACAGGCUGAUACCGCCCAAGAGUUCAUAUCGACGGCGGUGUUUGGCACCUCGAUGUCGGCUCAUCACAUCCUGGGGCUGAAGUAGGUCCCAAGGGUAUGGCUGUUCGCCAUUUAAAGUGGUACGCGAGCUGGGUUUAGAACGUCGUGAGACAGUUCGGUCCCUAUCUGCCGUGGGCGCUGGAGAACUGAGGGGGGCUGCUCCUAGUACGAGAGGACCGGAGUGGACGCAUCACUGGUGUUCGGGUUGUCAUGCCAAUGGCACUGCCCGGUAGCUAAAUGCGGAAGAGAUAAGUGCUGAAAGCAUCUAAGCACGAAACUUGCCCCGAGAUGAGUUCUCCCUGACUCCUUGAGAGUCCUGAAGGAACGUUGAAGACGACGACGUUGAUAGGCCGGGUGUGUAAGCGCAGCGAUGCGUUGAGCUAACCGGUACUAAUGAACCGUGAGGCUUAACCUUACAACGCCGAAGAUGUUUUG
rnacentral:rRNA from 1 species